GACGAACGCUGGCGGCGUGCUUAACACAUGCAAGUCGAACGGUGAAGCGCCUUCCUUUUUGGUGGGUGUGGAUGAGUGGCGAACGGGUGAGUAACACGUGAGUAACCUGCCCCCUUCUUCUGGAUAACCGCAUGAAAGUGUGGCUAAUACGGGAUAUUCUGGGUCUGUCGCAUGAUGGGUCUGGGAAAGAUAUUGUUUCGGUGGGGGGUGGGCUCGCGGCCUAGCAGCUUGUUGGUGGGGUGAUGGCCUCCCAAGGCGGUGACGGGUAGCCGGCCUGAGAGGGUGGACGGUCACACUGUGACUGAGACACGGCCCAGACUACUACGGGAGGCAGCAGUGGGGAAUAUUGCACAAUGGGCGCAAGCCUGAUGCAGCGACGCCGCGUGAGGGAUGGAGGCCUUCGGGUUGUGAACCUCUUUCGCCAGUGAAGCAGGCCUGCCUCGUUUGUGGGUGGGUUGACGGUAGCUGGAUAAGAAGCGCCGGCUAACUACGU
rnacentral:rRNA from 1 species